rnacentral:SRP_RNA from 1 species
GCCGGGCGUUGGUGGCGCAGGCCUUUAAUCCCAGCACUCGGGAGGCAGAGGCAGGCAGAUCUCUGUGAGUUCGAGGCCAGCCUGGUCUCCAGAGCGAGUGCCAGGAUAGGCUCCAAAGCUACACAGAGAAACCCUGUCUUGAAAAAAAAAAUCAUUUUUUCAAAAGUCAUGUUUGAACAUCCCAUGUAUGUUUUUGUUUUUUGUUUUUCUAGACAGGGUUUCUCUGUGUAGCUUUGGAGCCUAUCCUGGCACUCGCUCGGGAGACCAGGCUGGCCUCGAAAUCACAGAGAUCCUCUGCCUCUG